rnacentral:lncRNA from 1 species
GACAUACAGUCUUGUUAACCUCUGAAAGCUGUAAUUACACUAUUGCAAAACUGAUGCCUGCAGUAUGUCUGUCCUGGCAUAACUAGUUGAAAUAUAGGAAGGCAUUGUACUUGCACAAGAGAAGAGAAGCUCUGACUUGCAUUGCUAACAGGAGGUGAAAGCAGCUAAACUUUUGGCUUGAAAUUGCUGUUUAUGAACCUGCUGUAAACACUUAUGUGAUUCAAGCCUCUUAAAGGACAGUAAAUUACGUAUGAAAAUUUCAUGGCUGAAUAAGUGGCAGUAACAUGGCACUCAUUCUGGAUGCACACAUCAAAGAAAGACAAAAGUUGGAACUUUUAAGAUGGAAAUUAGUGGGUUCUGUGCUUUGUCCUUCUGGAAACCUCAGAUCCAAAACGUCAGAAAUUGCAUAAAAUCUGCUCCAGCUAGCAGCAACCCACUGACCACAACCCACAGAACCACCUUGCUGCCUGGAGAAGACCACUGA